rnacentral:tRNA from 1 species
GCCCGGGUGGCGAAAUGGCAGACGCAUGGGACUUAAAAUCCCUUGGUUGUAACACCGUGCGGGUUCGACUCCCGCCCUGGGCACCA